UACGUAGGGUGCAAGCGUUAAUCGGAAUUACUGGGCGUAAAGCGUGCGCAGGCGGUCCGCUAAGACAGAUGUGAAAUCCCCGGGCUUAGCCUGGGAACUGCAUUUGUGACUGGCGGGCUAGAGUAUGGCAGAGGGGGGUAGAAUUCCACGUGUAGCAGUGAAAUGCGUAGAGAUGUGGAGGAAUACCGAUGGCGAAGGCAGCCCCCUGGGCCAAUACUGACGCUCAUGCACGAAAGCGUGGGGAGCAAACAGG
rnacentral:rRNA from 1 species